GAGAGAGAGUUUCGUCACAGUCUCUGCUGUGGUAUCGUGGUUACGUCACAGAAUAUCGGAGUAACGUCUUUUCUUUCGUCACAGUUUAGUACACGUACACGUAGGGUUUGUCGCCGGUAUGCUAUCAUCCACAAUUGUGCGAAUUUAUAAAAAAGAGGGUUGGUGUUGGUAUUUGCUGCAUCUCACCAUAUAAACUUCUAAGCUUGGGAAAUUUAGUUUGAUGGAUUACAAUUAUCGCAACAGCCCCGAAGAUUACAAAUGGCGAUAAAGAAGUGUGAACACCAAAUGGCAAAAAAUUGGAAUCCUAUUAUAUAACAGAUCCUGCUCAUGAGAAAAUACUGCUUGCUUGUCCCCCAGAAGAGGUCCUUUUUGUGAAUGCUCUUUUUAUGAGGAAGAUAGUAAUUCAAAGAAGGGAAUUCAUAUACCAGGCAAUUUGGAAUUUUGUCCAGAAUGGCAUGGAAACAGUAGAGGACUCAGUGUUGGUUCCAUUGUAAAAUUUGCACAAAAUAUUUUGGUCAGGCAGCUGACUGGAAAAUGUUCGAAAAUAAGUGAUAUUGACAAUACAAAUGUCUGUUGUGAAAUAUGCUUACUUUCAAGUUUUCAUUAUUCUUCAAUGUAAAACUGCUUAAAAAUUUGGAGUUUACAAGACUAAACACAUUCAUCCCCUUCAAUUAAAAAUGGUGUCUUGAAAAUUUAUGAAAGAAAAAGAUAUAAUUGUAAAUUUUGCACCAAAACCCACAAAAUAGCUUUCACACAAAAUCAAAUUGUUGAUACGGUUUGUCUCUAAUAACACUUUACGCUCAUUUUCUUUGAAACGUUUGUAUAGCAGUUUGUUCAAGGUUUUGAAAGUUUUGCCACCAUAUAUUUUAAUAAUAUAAUUAAUGUCUUCAUUAAAAAGUAUUUCUCCAUUUUGUUCUUCAGCCAUGCUGCGUCAAGUAACUUCUGAUGCUCAUUAAAAUUUUUAAUAAAAUUAUUCUUCCUGCUGAAUAAACUUGUAAGGUAAAUUGUUGGCUGGUUUGAAAACAUCAGGUGCUAAAACCAUCAAUACCACUAACACAUCAAUGUCUUCUGCUACAA